rnacentral:misc_RNA from 1 species
AAAAAAAAAAAAAAAAAAAAUUGCUGAAGUGAAAAAAAAAAAAAAAUGUAGCUGAACACUACUUGGAGCAUUGUCUAGCUGCUAGACAUUUCCUAGGCAGCGUCUACCUGCUGGUGUGUAUAUAUAUAGAUAUUGUCCGUCUUAAUCCUAGUGACUAACACCUGCAAUCACACCCACAAAGACGCAAUUAUUGACCAAAUAAUUACUAAUCUAAAAUAAUUUAAUAAUUACAGAAUAUAAAAAAUUUUAAAAAUACAAAUAUUUAUAUGUAAAAGUAUUUA